ACAAAAUGGGACGGAGGGAGU
rnacentral:miRNA from 1 species